rnacentral:rRNA from 1 species
AAAAACAAUUACAACCGGUAGCGCUGGAUCCCUUGGCACGUCAUUCGAUGAAGACCGUUGCAAAUUGCGAUAAAGUGAUGUGAUGCGCAAGUCCACCACUUAUACGUGAAUCAUCGAGUUGUUGAACGCACUGCACCGCGCCCUAAACCGGCUGCGGUAUGCCCCUUUGAGCGUCAUUGUAUCCCUUCGGGAGUCUUUCUUAGACCCGAGUUCGGAGUCCUCGGUCCAUGGAUCGUGUUCUCUUAGAUGCGUCGCGCUGAUCGUCCGAUGGGUCACUCUAAUGCCUGAGCGUGGAGUCCCUCGGAGUUGAGAUGCGCUUGACCGAGUGUUGAGCUCGCGUCGGCAAGUCCGUGUUCCUCUGGGACAUCGGUACUACAACGCAUGACCUCAUUGGGGUAGGACAACCCGCUAGACUUAAGCAUAUUAAUCAGCGGAGGAAAAGAAACU